ACCGUGGACACGGCCUGGAGUCGUCACAAAGCGAGUGGUGUCCCCGAGGACUCCGCUAACAACGCUGCUCUGACUGCACAAUGCUAGCAGGGUCGGUGCUAAGGAAAACGCAGCUUCGCCAUCGCGGUGCCCCCCGAACGACACCCCCGGGUCUGUGCUGAAGAAGACGCAGCUCCACACUCGCAGAGGCCCCCGCCCGAGAUAUUAUUUCCUCCCGAUGUUUUCAUGAAAGCUCCUGCAAUCAGCUACAGGUCAGAACGUUUGUCUACAACACAGGACUGCCUCUGAGACCCACAGGAAAGACCAAGACAGGCCCUCCCUCUUUGCUUGUACCUCAGAGUGCAACGAUGAAAUUAACUGGAAGGCUUUUUUUGUCUGAAGACAUUAAACAUGUGUUUCCAUACAAUGUAGAUUUUCAAAAGGGUUUUCUUUUUUUGGCAAUAGCACAAAAUAAGAUUUAUAGAAAGACAUUAACCACUGUAAGACUUGGUAAACAUUUUUUAAAAUUCAGUGUUUAAAUAAAUGUAAUGUAUGCUGGUUUAAAUGUGGAAGGUGUAAACAUAAAGUGAGCAGACAAAUAACCAUAUAGCCCUACUUUCAAUGGAUGAGAUGACUGA
rnacentral:lncRNA from 1 species